AGUGAACGCUGGCGGUAGGCCUAACACAUGCAAGUCGAACGGCAGCACAGUAAGAGCUUGCUCUUACGGGUGGCGAGUGGCGGACGAGUGAGGAAUACAUCCGAAUCUACUUUUUCGUGGGGGAUAACGUAGGGAAACUUACGCUAAUACCGCAUACGACCUACGGGUGAAAGCAGGGGAUCUUCGGACCUUGCGCGAUUGAAUGAGCCGAUGUCGGAUUAGCUAGUUGGCGGGGUAAAGGCCCACCAAGGCGACGAUCCGUAGCUGGUCUGAGAGGAUGAUCAGCCACACUGGAACUGAGACACGGUCCAGACUCCUACGGGAGGCAGCAGUGGGGAAUAUUGGACAAUGGGCGCAAGCCUGAUCCAGCCAUACCGCGUGGGUGAAGAAGGCCUUCGGGUUGUAAAGCCCUUUUGUUGGGAAAGAAAAGCAGCAGGUUAAUACCCCGCUGUUCUGACGGUACCCAAAGAAUAAGCACCGGCUAACUUCGUG
rnacentral:rRNA from 1 species